rnacentral:rRNA from 1 species
GACGACGCUGGCGGCGUGCCUAACACAUGCAAGUCGAGCGGGGUUGAGGCGAGAGGUAACUCGAACUUCUACCUAGCGGCGGACGGGUGAGUAACGCGUGGGCAACCUGCCUCAAGGUUUGGGAUAACAGCCCGAAAGGGCUGCUAAUACCGGAUAUGCCUAUGGCCUCGCAUGGGGCUAUGAGCAAAGGGGAAACCCGCCUUGAGAUGGGCCCGCGUCCCAUCAGCUAGUUGGUGAGGUAACAGCUCACCAAGGCGACGACGGGUAGCCGGCCUGAGAGGGUGACCGGCCACACUGGGACUGAGACACGGCCCAGACUCCUACGGGGGGCAGCAGUGGGGGAUCUUGCACAAUGGGCGAAAGCCUGAUGCAGCGACGCCGCGUGAGCGAAGAAGGCCCUCGGGUUGUAAAGCUCUGUCUGGAGGGACGAACAAAAUGACGGUACCUCCGGAGGAAGCCACGGCUAACUACGUG